rnacentral:misc_RNA from 1 species
CUAGCUCCUCAGCAAGUACAGCUCGUACUUGGCUUUGUUUCUCGUAUUCAAAACGAACUUCAUGCACAUUCACCAUGACUUCUAGCUCAUGAUCAAGCCACCUUUGUAAAGAUUUUUCAUUUCCCUGCCCAGAUGGUGUAUGUCCAUUUGAAUUAACUGAGUUCUCACGUCCUGAAGACUUGCGGGCUUCCAAUAGCUCCUUUAGCCUUCUGGUAGC